rnacentral:ncRNA from 1 species
GGUCAAGCGAACAAGUGCAUGUGGUGGAUGCCUUGGCGAUCACAGGCGAUGAAGGACGCGGUAGUCUGCGAAAAGCGGCGGGGAGCUGACAAACGAGCUUUGAUCCGCUGAUGUCCGAAUGGGGAAACCCGGCCCGAAUGGGUCACCCUUGACUGAAUACAUAGGUCAUGUGGAGCGAACGCGGUGAACUGAAACAUCUAAGUAACCGCAGGAACAGAAAUCAACCGAGAUUCCCAAAGUAGUGGCGAGCGAAAUGGGAUCAGCCUGUACUCUUUAUCUGUAUUGUUAGCUGAACGCUCUGGAAAGUGCGGCCAUAGCAGGUGAUAGCCCUGUAAGCGAAAACAGUAUGGAAGAACUAGGGGUACGACAAGUAGGGCGGGACACGUGAAAUCCUGUCUGAAGAUGGGGGGACCAUCCUCCAAGGCUAAAUACUCGUGAUCGACCGAUAGUGAACCAGUACCGUGAGGGAAAGGCGAAAAGAACCCCGGGAGGGGAGUGAAAUAGAUCCUGAAACCGCAUGCAUACAAACAGUCGGAGCCUGGAAACGGGUGACGGCGUACCUUUUGUAUAAUGGGUCAGCGACUUACGUUCAGUAGCGAGCUUAACUGAUUAAGGCAGGCGUAGCGAAAGCGAGUCCGAAUAGGGCGAUCAGUUGCUGGGCGUAGACCCGAAACCAAGUGAUCUAUCCAUGGCCAGGUUGAAGGUG